rnacentral:rRNA from 1 species
GAAACAUGGAUUAAUACCCCAUAAGAUUAUAGUGUCACCUGGCACAGUAAUAAAAGUUCCGACGGUAUAAGAUGGGCAUGCGUAUGAUUAGCUAGAUGGUGAGGUAAUGGCUCACCAUGGCGACGAUCAUUAGCGGGUCUGAGAGGAUGAUCCGCCACACUGGUACUGAGACACGGACCAGACUCCUACGGGAGGCAGCAGUAGGGAAUAUUGGUCAAUGGGCGAGAGCCUGAACCAGCCAUGCCGCGUGCAGGAAGACGGCCUUCUGGGUUGUAAACUGCUUUUUUCAGGGAACAAAACAUUCCUGCGGGAAAAAUUGAGUGUACCUGAAGAAUAAGCACCGGCUAACUCCGUGCCAGCAGCCGCGGUAAUACGGAGGGUGCAAGCGUUGUCCGGAUUUAUUGGGUUUAAAGGGUGCGUAGGCGGGAUAUUAAGUCAGUGGUGAAAGCCUUCGGCUCAACCGAAGAACUGCCAUUGAUACUGAUAUUCUUGAGUACGGAUGAGGUAAGCGGAAUUUAUGGUGUAGCGGUGAAAUGCAUAGAUACCAUAAAGAACACCAAUUGCGAAGGCAGCUUACUAGACCGUAACUGACGCUGAGGCACGAAAGCGUGGGGAGCGAACAGGAUUAGAUACCCUGGUAGUCCACGCCGUAAACGAUGCUCACUCGGUG